GACGAACGCUGGCGGCGUGCUUAACACAUGCAAGUCGAACGGAAAGGCCCUGCUUGCAGGGUACUCGAGUGGCGAACGGGUGAGUAACACGUGGGUGAUCUGCCCUGCACUUCGGGAUAAGCCUGGGAAACUGGGUCUAAUACCGGAUAGGAGCCAUUUUUAGUGUGAGGGUUGGAAAGUUUUUUGGGUGUAGGGUGAGCUCGCGGCCUAUCAGCUUGUUGGUGGGGUGAUGGCCUACCAAGGCGGCGACGGGUAGCCGGCCUGGGAGGGUGGACGGCCACAUUUGGGCUGGGGUACGGCCCAGACUCCUACGGGGGGCAGCAGGGGGGAAUAUUGCACAAUGGGCGCAAGCCUGAUGCAGCGACGCCGCGUGGGGGAUGACGGCCUUCGGGUUGUAAACUCCUUUCGCUAGGGACGAAGCUUUUUGUGACGGUACCUAGAUAAGAAGCACCGGCUAACUACGUG
rnacentral:rRNA from 1 species